CUGAAGAAUUCAAGAUAACAGCAAAUAAACUUUAAUAAUUGGUCCAGGUGUUAAGUGGUUAGUUAGAUACCCUCCCAUCAACAGGUGAUGUCAUCCUUGACACGGGGGUGGACACAAGAUGUAGGCGCCAUCUUAUUAGCACGAGGUGUUCACUCGAUGGGAGGGGUGCUUUGGCAGGCAUUUUGAGUAGUUAGUAUUGUUAGCUUCAAGGUUC
rnacentral:lncRNA from 1 species